rnacentral:rRNA from 1 species
GUCGAACGGGAAACUUUCAUUGAAGCUUCGGCAGAUUUGGUCUGUUUCUAGUGGCGGACGGGUGAGUAACGCGUGGGUAACCUGCCUUAUACAGGGGGAUAACAACCAGAAAUGGUUGCUAAUACCGCAUAAGCGCACAGGACCGCAUGGUCCGGUGUGAAAAACUCCGGUGGUAUAAGAUGGACCCGCGUUGGAUUAGCUAGUUGGCAGGGUAACGGCCUACCAAGGCGACGAUCCAUAGCCGGCCUGAGAGGGUGAACGGCCACAUUGGGACUGAGACACGGCCCAGACUCCUACGGGAGGCCAGCAGUGGGGAAUAUUGCACGAUGGGGGAAACCCUGAUGCAGCGACGCCGCGUGAAGGAAGAAGUAUCUCGGUAUGUAAACUUCUAUCAGCAGGGAAGAUAGUGACGGUACCUGACUAAGAAGCCCCGGCUAACUACGUGCCAGCAGCCGCGGUAAUACGUAGGGGGCAAGCGUUAUCCGGAUUUACUGGGUGUAAAGGGAGCGUAGACGGACUGGCAAGUCUGAUGUGAAAGGCGGGGGCUCAACCCCUGGACUGCAUUGGAAACUGUUAGUCUUGAGUGCCGGAGAGGUAAGCGGAAUUCCUAGUGUAGCGGUGAAAUGCGUAGAUAUUAGGAGGAACACCAGUGGCGAAGGCGGCUUACUGGACGGUAA